UCCCACCUGAUCCCAUGCCGAACUCAGAAGUGAAACGCCGUAGCGCCGAUGGUAGUGUGGGGUCUCCCCAUGUGAGAGUAGGGAACUGCUAAGC
rnacentral:rRNA from 1 species